rnacentral:rRNA from 1 species
CGGGACGGGUGAGUAACGCGUGGGUAACCUGCCUUACACAGGGGGAUAACACUUAGAAAUAGGUGCUAAUACCGCAUGAGCGCACAGGACCGCAUGGUCGAGUGUGAAAAACUGAGGUGGUGUAAGAUGGACCCGCGUCUGAUUAGCUAGUUGGUGAGGUAACGGCCCACCAAGGCGACGAUCAGUAGCCGGCCUGAGAGGGUGGACGGCCACAUUGGGACUGAGACACGGCCCAAACUCCUACGGGAGGCAGCAG